rnacentral:rRNA from 1 species
CCGGCGACCGGCGCACGGGUGAGUAACACGUAUGCGACCUGCCCUCUUCAGGGGGACAACCUUCCGAAAGGGAGGCUAAUCCCGCGUAUAUCGGUUUCGGGCAUCCGAGAUCGAGGAAAGAUUCAUCGGAAGAGGAUGGGCAUGCGGCGCAUUAGCUAGACGGCGGGGUAACGGCCCACCGUGGCGACGAUGCGUAGGGGUUCUGAGAGGAAGGUCCCCCACACUGGUACUGAGACACGGACCAGACUCCUACGGGAGGCAGCAG